rnacentral:rRNA from 1 species
UACGUAGGGUGCGAGCGUUGUCCGGAAUUAUUGGGCGUAAAGAGCUCGUAGGCGGCUUGUCGCGUCGGAUGUGAAAGCCCGGGGCUUAACUCCGGGUCUGCAUUCGAUACGGGCAGGCUAGAGUUCGGUAGGGGAGAUCGGAAUUCCUGGUGUAGCGGUGAAAUGCGCAGAUAUCAGGAGGAACACCCGUGGCGAAAGCGGCUCUCUGGGCCGGAACUGACGCUGAGGAGCGAAAGCGUGGGGAGCGAACAGG